rnacentral:lncRNA from 1 species
ACAUUUUCCUGUAACACCCAAAAUUUUACUCUUUAAAAUAGAGAAAUAUGAUUUAAUUAAAUAAUUUUUUGUGAGCAUUAUAAUAUAGGAAAAAUAAUUAAUUUUUUGCGAAAAUAAAAUUUAAUAUAGGUUUAGAAACAUGUUGAUGCAUUCAUGCCGCAGUACUUAUUUUUGUGAUGUGUGAAAUUAUGCAAAAGAAAUUUUGUUCAAAAUUCAAUUUGUAAAUGCUUUUGAAAACAAGUUGGAAAAAAUAAUAAAAAAAAGAAAUCCAUCUCUCUCCCUUCCCGCUCACUUUCGGCCUGCUUGGCCCAAUUCGAGCAGCACGCCAGCACCCUAACUCCCUCUCUCUCUCUCCCACUGACGAGUGGGGCCCACCUGUCGGCUCCUUCUCCCUCCCCCAACCGUUCCCUCCUUCUCUCACGCACAGGAAGCCGCAACCGGCGCCCCGCUCCCACGACGACGCACCCACGCCCACGUCUCUCGGUCUCUCGCGACUUAGAGUUGUUGCCGACCUCGCACCUCUCUCCCCCUCCUCUAUUUCCGCACUCGCAGCCGCAAUCAAGCGUCUAGACAGUAAGAAAGACCACCGCUGAAGCACUGCAGACCAGCCGCGCGACGUCCCGGUGAAUCAAGCCGCCUCUGCCUCCUUUCGCUGUGCCGGUGAGCUCGCCAACUCCUUCCCUCUCUCUCUCUGCCUUUCCUGUCCGGUUGGUAGCCGCUAGGGCCUUCUCCGCGAACUCCGGUGAGCACCAUGGCCGCCGGCUAUGGCGCAGACCACGCGAACUUCUCCCGGCUGCGUUGAGGGCUGAAGCACGCUCGCCUUCGCUCACUCUCCCUCCCCGGCUU